UGCCUCUUCAUGUUUAUAUAAUUUUAAAAGUGAGUAUAAAUGCUAUUCAAAUAUUUGUUGCAAACGCUCUCCUUAAGUGCUUGAAGGCAAUAGGCUUGACCCAAACGUUAUUGAAGUGGCUCGUUGAGUGCGUUAAAGGAAUUAAAAUUUCUGUGGUUGAACAACAAUAACUUUACUUCAAUUGGUAAUCACUUGUCUCAAUCUCUUAACAAUUUAAAGCAUUUACGUCUUGACAAUAACCGAAUUUCUACAAUCGCUGUAGAUUCUUUUCGAUCUCUGACAUCUUUGGAAACUUUACGUUUAAGCAACAACUCUCUUAAAUCCAUCAAAAAUUACUUUUUCACUGGUCUUAGAAAUGUGAAGGGCUUGUAAGUUUUCCAUAGUUUUCU